AAGUCGUAACAAGGUUUCCGUAGGUGAACCUGCGGAAGGAUCAUUAAAAGAUUUUUGGUAUAAUUUUUUGGGGUCAAUUGAUCUCAAAAAAUAAUUCACCAUUUGUGCAUUGUUAUUAAGAUAUACUUUGGUUAGAGCUUUGAUUUCAUUGAUUGGAAUCAACUUCUCGCUGACUCUAUCCUUUCUGAGGACAGUUGGCUAUGAAGCGGCCUACCAAGGUUUUUUAUCAAAAACUUGUAUUUUGUCUGACCUAAACUACUAUAAUUAAAUCAUAACUUUCAACAACGGAUCUCUUGGCUCUC
rnacentral:misc_RNA from 1 species